CGCGUGGUGCUGAGUUUUGCUAUUAAGAUCCUCAUAACCCGCUGCUCCUAAAACUCACCUCACCUCCCAGCCCACCUGGGCCUGAGUUCAGAAUGAUUUUCACAUCUUGUAGCGACUGCAGGUUUGGGCCUGUUACCUAAAGGAGGAAGUACUUUCAAGUUCCUUACUCUUUGACAUCUGUCACUGCGACCCUUCCCAGUUCUUCACAGUUCGGUUUCCCUGAUGGGCAGUAAAAGAACCGCAACCCUUGCCUUGGAGUAGUUAACAGUGUAGCAAUGGAGGCUAACAUUGAACCACCACUCAGAAUGUGACUACAAUCAUGGUCAUGUGAAGCUGGAAGAGGGUAAGGAGGUGUGUUUGCGAGGUCCUGGAAGCAACGAGAAGGAACAUAACCUGUGAAAGGAAGGCACUGAAGUUUUUAGAAAGAGUGUACAUGCAGACAGGACACUGUGUACAUAAUAAAUAAAUUAAUUAAUUAAAAAAACCAACGAACGGAUCUGGGAAGAAUAAAGGUAGAGGGAAGGAAGUUUGCUGCAGCCAUGCUAGAACUUUUCUCCAGAAAGAUGAAGUAAGGCCUGGAGAUUCCCUAUAAAGAGCAAGGAAGCCUGGCGGUGAUGGUGCAUGCCUUUAAUACCUAGCACUCCGGGGCAGAAGCAGGAAGAUGUCUGUGAGUUCGAGGCCAACCUGGUCUACUGCGUGAGUUUCAGGACAGCCAAGGCUACACAGAGAAACUCUUGUCUCAAAAAGAACCAACCCAACCAAAUAACCAAAUAGUAAGGGGAUGCAGGUAACAUCCAGGGCAAAGCACUGUCGAACUACAAGCUUGCCUUCCAGGUUCAUCUUCCUGCAUUAAAGGGUUAAGCUGGGAUCAAGGGACGGCCAUCCUGAGGUCCCAUAGUGGGAGAAACACACAGCAGGCAGAGUCAGGCUCCCUAAGUGUGGAUCUGAAGCUGUCCCUAAGCAACCACAGAGUGCCAACACUCGAGAACAGGGCUGAGUCCUCUUCAUACUCGCUUUCACAACCACAUGUUUGCAUCUAGCAGGUGCUUAGAUUAGAUUCAUUGAAUUGGCAACAAUCAAAGCCUUCUUAUAUAUUGUUGCACUUUUCCAGAGAGUCUGAUCCACUGCCUCUUGGAGUAUUUUCAAGAUUCCAGAGGCUAAAAAUAUCGUCCCAAAGCUAUUGAAGGACUCUUCCAUGUAAGGAGCCCAGCUGAGACUCCCGAAGCUGAAAGUGUAUGCCCGCCAGGUGGCACCCUAACCCACAGAUGCCUUUUUAAGAAGAUGGACGAAUUCUCUUCCUUUCCUCCUAUUGUAGGAGGCUCCCUGCUCACAGAAAUGCUCUCUUCAGUCCAGCAGCCAGAUUCAGCUGCUCAAAGCAGUACAGAGUCUCAACCCUAGUCAAGGACGCUGUACAUCCCUGUGGGUGUGGCCGAGUUAGUAUCAGAGCGUGCAGGUUUGGAGUCCAGUGUGACACAGACUCUGCUUCUUUGGGCAAGAGUAGAAAAAAUAACAUAGAUAAUAUGUAAAAAUAUUUGGGUUGUAGAGGUGGAGUCAGCAUCACCCGAGGCCUCCUGAGUCCCCAGCAGCUACUGGAACAAGGUCAGCUGCUUCAAAUUCUGAGCCUGCUGUCUCCAUCAGUGGUCAGAGCUAAGAACAAGUAUCUCACAGUGUUGGUAGCCUUCAACUGGAACUGUAAAUACAACUUCUUGCCAGGGGCUCUAACACAGUAAACAUUCUGUUCCCAGAACCACAUAUAUCAUGUGUUCCUGGCCUCUAAAAUGGUGUUCAAUAAGCACUCAUUGUCGGCCUGCUUCAUGAAACAGUUUUACUGAUGAAGUAAUCGGAUAUGCAGAGGGUUAGGCAGCCCCUCCUCUAUGCCCAUCUACGCACUAGUGAAGCAAUGGCAGGCUGAUUCCAGGGCUGUGAUGUCUUAUGUAGGUGUGGCUGUCACACAUCACAAUUUAAGCAUUUUCAUAUGCAUUCGGAGCUUUCCUGAGUAGUGUAUACAGGCUGGGGAGGCAGUGGCAGGUCAAAGCCUUUUUCUCCAAAGUAGAGCCAGGCUGCUGGAAAAGGGACCUGCUGUGCCAGGCCAGGGGACACUGAGUUAAGGACCAGGAUAUGAAGGGGGAGCUCUACAAUAUAGAAUCAGCUGGAAGUCUGAUGCAGGCAUCAUCUCAUAGACAAAUGUGGCUUGCUUAGGUCUAGUGCUGUUCCUGUAGCCACUGGGCAAUGAACUCUGUUUAUAUGUACUGAGUAAGGGUCUCCUAUAUGCCAGGUCCCGGAAAAGAUGAAUGAACCCAGCUAGACCAUGGUUUAUGACAUAGCAGACUCAAGAACUACUUACUGCAGAGGAAUGGUUCAAAUGGAGGCCCAGACAAGCAAAUAAUUAUCAACGUGGAAAGCUGUACCCAAAGCCAGCGGUAAUUAAACCAGACAUUGUCUGCCAGGAGGGUUUGGAAGAUGGAGGGCAUUCUGAGUUCACGUGGGAGACUUGCAAGAAGUGACGGAGUUUGGGCAUGGGUGGGGGAAGGAAGUGGAAAAAACAAGAAAUUGGAACUUGGUUGGGGACAGAUUAUGCAAUAUGCCACAUUGACAAGACACAGCUCUGUACUGUGCUCAGUGAGGAACAGCCAGGUCUAUUUCAGAACCCUGCUGAAGAAUGAAGGUUGGCUUCUGGGGGUGGAGGGUGUGAGAAAAAGCCAUCACUGGUUUCCAGGUCUGAACCCCUCUGGACAUCAGGAAAAUGAAGAAAAUGGCUGUUCUUGUCUCUUGUGUUGUUGGAGGCUGACAUGAGAAUACACACAGAGCAUGGCCCUGUAAUACUAAUAAACCUUUGCAUCGUUGG